rnacentral:rRNA from 1 species
GAUGAACGCUGGCGGCGUGCCUAAUACAUGCCAGUCGAGCGAACAGACGAGGAGCUUGCUCCUCUGACGUUAGCGGCGGACGGGUGAGUAACACGUGGAUAACCUACCUAUAAGACUGGGAUAACUUCGGGAAACCGGAGCUAAUACCGGAUAAUAUAUUGAACCGCAUGGUUCAAUAGUGAAAGACGGUUUUGCUAUCACUUAUAGAUGGAUCCGCGCCGCAUUAGCUAGUUGGUAAGGUAACGGCUUACCAAGGCGACGAUGCGUAGCCGACCUGAGAGGGUGAUCGGCCACACUGGAACUGAGACACGGUCCAGACUCCUACGGGAGGCAGCAGUAGGGAAUCUUCCGCAAUGGGCGAAAGCCUGACGGAGCAACGCCGCGUGAGUGAUGAAGGUCUUCGGAUCGUAAAACUCUGUUAUUAGGGAAGAACAAAUGUGUAAGUAACUAUGCACGUCUUGACGGUACCUAAUCAGAAAGCCACGGCUAACUACGUG